rnacentral:rRNA from 1 species
UACGUAGGGGGCGAGCGUUGUCCGAAGUUACUGGGCGUAAAGCGCGCGUAGGCGGGAAAUUAAGUGAGAAGUGAAAGGCUGGGGCUCAACCUCAUGCAGUGCUUCUCAUACUGGUUUUCUUGAGGGCGGUAGAGAAAAGUGGAACGGCUGGUGUAGCGGUGAAAUGCGUAGAGAUGCGGAGGAACACCGAUGGCGAAGGCAGCCCCCUGGGCUAACACUGACGCUCAGGCACGAAAGCGUGGGGAGCAAACAGG